UAGUAAAUAGUAUAGAGGUAGUACGUGGGGUUUUGGACCCCAAAGGAUGGGUUCGAUGCCUGUUUUUCUAG
rnacentral:tRNA from 1 species